AUUACAAAUUUCAAUUUCAAAUAUACCUUUUAAUUCCUCUCACAAUUCAUAUGCCAUAAUUUGUUGCAUUUAAAACAAAUUUCAAGAGGCUUUAAUUAUGAAUCAGCAGAGUUGUAGACAAAGUUUAAAAACUCUGACCCAGACACACGUCUAUGUUGCUGUCAUGGCAGGCAUGCAUGUUAAAAUCAUAUCAGACUUCUGUCUGAAACACUCCAGGAACACAUUGUUAUGCUGACAAUAAAUAAAUAGUUUCAGCUGCUGCCGAACAUGAGCCAAGACUCAUUUCUCAGUCACCCCAGAGAAUGUGCAGGAUAUAUGAAUGCAAAAGAAGAUACAACAAAAAGAGAUAACCUGAGAUGAGAAUAUCACCCUACAGUAAUUAGGCCAAAGGCAAAAAGCUUGCAGCUCAUGGGAAAUCUGUCUUUGUGUCAUUGUAGAUUCUCUCUCGGUGAAGGGGUAGCCUAGUGGUUAAAACGUUCACUCAUCAAGCCGAAGACCCGGGUUUGAAUCCCUGCAUGGGUAAAUGUGUGCACCCCAUUUCUGGUGUCCCACGCCACGAUAUUGCUGGAACAUUGCUAA